UGGGUUUGAAUCCUGGUUCUGGCAUAGAUAGUAACAUGGGUAAUCUUGGGCUACUCACUUAAUCUGAUUCCCCCCCCCCCCACUUCAUGUUUUUUAUUUAUAAAAGAAGGGUGUUGGGUUAGCUGAUCCCUGAGGUAUUUUCUACUUGUAAUAGUCUGUGAAAAUCAUGCCACCAGGAGUUUUUUGGGUUUCCCUUUGUUUGGAAUUAUUGGUGUUAUUCUCCCUUGUCCCUAGUGCAAAUAACUAGGAGAAAACUUGAAAAAGGAAUAAAUAACAUGGUAGAAAGAGGAUUGGAUUGGGAGUUGGGAGAGCAGGGACACCUCAGUUUUAGUGCAGCUGUGAGACCUUGAGAAAGCCAUUUUCCUUCUGUGGCUCUUAAUUUUCUCCUCUGUUAAAUGAGGGGAUCAUAUUAUAAAGUUCACAAAGGUCCCUUCUUUUUCUACUCUUCUGGGAUAUUUUGUGAACUCUUACUAUAGAAAUAAAUGUAUGGGAAAGUAGAAAUUAGAGAGGAAAAUUUUCAGGGAAAUCCUGGGAAGAUUUGUAUGAACAGAUGCAUGAUGAAAUAAUUAACUCAUAAAAGGAGAAAAGGACAACUCUUUGACCCAUUCUUGCCCAGAUGAUUCUCUGAUCCUCAAACCUGGGGUAGAAGAGUCUACUUUCCUGGUAAACCUUUUCCUGGAGCUCACUGACAUCUCUAGAAAGGAAGACAGGCACAAAUGACACAUUCAUGUAUUAAAGAAGCUCAGUUACAACAGUGUCAGCCUGGUUCUCAUCUUCAAAAGGCACUGACUUCUGGAAUAAAGCAUGAGGAGGGCACCCAGAACUAUUGA
rnacentral:lncRNA from 1 species